rnacentral:lncRNA from 1 species
GGAAAUCUCCAGCAGGCUCUGCAAGUAUCACAUGGCACCCCAGGAAAAGCAGCUGAGCAGAAACAAGUGAGAGACACCGCUGGGACACUUGCCAUUGAAGUCACUGACCGUGGCCUUAAGGAGGUUCCAGCCUUCCUCAGAGUCUGUUUCCUCAUCUGGAAAGUGAGGAGGGAUGGUCUGGGAGGAUACUCUGAGCUUCGCGGGUUGCAAGUAACAAUACACCGACUUAAAGUAGCUUGAGCAAAUGGAGGGUGUAUUAGCUUUUGGUUGCCAAAGAACGGUGGAGGAGCCAGGCUACGGCAAGGCAGCUGAACCUUAGGAAUAAGUCGAACUGGGCAGUGGAAGGCCAUCAGGACUCUGUCCCCAGCCUCACUUUCCUGGGAAUGUUGGCUUCGUUCCUUCUCACUCAGCCAGGUUUCCUUGUGUAGCCACUAACCUGGCUGCAGAUGGCCGCAGAUGGCUCCAGAGUCUUCGUUUGACUGUUCCACUCUCCGGGCAACCUGGAGAUUGGACAGAUUCCAUGGGCUGCAAAUCUCAGAGGAGCUCAUGGAAGGGCUCUGACUGGACCAGAGUAGAUCAAUGCCCCCCACCUCUGAAGAGCAGUCAACUGUGGCCAGGGAGGGAUUUGAAAAUGGGAUUUUAUAGUGAAAUACUUUUUUUUUUCUUUUUGCAAUGGACAACACAAUUGCUCUCAGCCCCACAGAUUGAGGGUGGGGACAAUCCCCAGACAAACCAAGAGCCCAGAUUUCUGGCAACAAUGUAUGCAGUGUGACAGACUUGAAUCCAAUUGUCCAAAGUUCUGCCAUUGCUGUGUCAGAACCCCACACUGUCGCCUUGAGAUGCCAAAGUUCUGCCAUCCUUCAUGAUAUGAAAAGGUUGACAGGAAACUCAAGCAAAUUUUGAAUCAAGUGUUGGUGAAAUAUCAGUUGAAUUCAAUAUGGUGUAACCAGAUGACCGAGAAACUAUCGUCUCUUAGGCUGAAGUCCCUCUCCUCUUGUCUCGUCAUCUCUGGUGUGACCAGGUGCUACACACUCAGCUAUAGGAAGGCCGACC